rnacentral:rRNA from 1 species
CUGAGGCACGAAAGCGUGGGGAGCAAACAGGAUUAGAUACCCUGGUAGUCCACGCCGUAAACGAUGAGUACUAAAUGUUGGGUAAAACCAGUGUUGAAGUUAACACAUUAAGUACUCCGCCUGAGUAGUACGUACGCAAGUAUGAAACUUAAAGGAAUUGACGGGACUCCGCACAAGCGGUGGAUCAUGUUGUUUAAUUCGAAGGUACCCGAAAAACCUCACCAGGUCUUGACAUGCUUCUGCAAAGCUGUAGAAACACAGUGGAGGUUAUCAGUUGCACAGGUGGUGCAUGGUUGUCGUCAGCUCGUGUCGUGAGAUGUUGGGUUAAGUCCCGCAACGAGCGCAACCCUUAUUGUUAGUUGCCAGCACGUAAUGGUGGGGACUUUAGCAAGACUGCCAGUGAUAAAUUGGAGGAAGGUGGGGACGACGUCAAAUCAUCAUGCCCCUUAUGACCUGGGCUACAAACGUGAUACAAUGGCUGUUACAA